UGAGAUCCAGCUGUAAGGCAUGUUCUCAAU
rnacentral:piRNA from 1 species